AUGUUUUGUUUAAGUGUGGGAGAGGAUCUUUACUUGCUUCCUUACUUGCUUUCUAAUUUAAAUUUAUUUCUUUUUAGUAUAUCUAUUUAUUUUCUUUCUUUUUCAGUCUGUUAUAGAGUCCUUGCAUGGGUUGUUGGGUCACUUAUGCAUAGUUUCUACUUUUUAUUAGGCUUUCCCUGUUUCUUGAGCCAUACUAGAAUUUUUUUGAUUUUUUUGAAAAACAAAAGAAAGAACAGUGACCAAAUCUUUGAAAUUUUAGGCUUUUGGACAAACAAAGGAUAG